rnacentral:rRNA from 1 species
AGAUACCCGGGUAGUCCUAGCCGUAAACGAUACUCGCUAGGUGUCGGCCACGGUGCGACCGUUGUCGGUGCCGUAGGGAAGCCGUGAAGCGAGCCACCUGGGAAGUACGGCCGCAAGGCUGAAACUUAAAGGAAUUGGCGGGGGAGCACCACAACGGGUGGAGCUUGCGGUUUAAUUGGAUUCAACGCCGGAAAUCUUACCGGGACCGACAGCAACAUGAAGGCCAGGCUGAAGACUUUGCCGGAUUAGCUG